UGUGGCGCGGGGGCGACGGCGGCGGUAGGAGAGUGGGGGCGUGCGUUGUGCGGAAUUACUGGGCGGAAAGGGCGCGGAGGUGGCCGACUAAGUCCGACGUGAAAUCCCCAGGCGUAACCUGGGAACGGCGUCGGAUACUGGUUGGCUUGAAUUCGGGAGAGGGAUGCGGAAUUCCAGGUGUAGCGGUGAAAUGCGUAGAUAUCUGGAGGAACACCGGUGGCGAAGGCGGCAUCCUGGACCGACAUUGACACUGAACCGCGAAAGCCAGGGGAGCAAACGGGAUUAGAUACCCGUGUAGUC
rnacentral:rRNA from 1 species